rnacentral:misc_RNA from 1 species
GAUGAAGAACGCAGCAAAAUGCGAUAAGUAAUGUGAAUUGCAGAAUUCAGUGAAUCAUCGAAUCUUUGAACGCACAUUGCGCCCGCCAGUAUUCUGGCGGGCAUGCCUGUUCGAGCGUCAUUUCAACCCUCAAGCACAGCUUGGUGUUGGGACUCGCGUUAAUUCGCGUUCCCCAAAUUCAUUGGCGGUCACGUCGAGCUUCCAUAGCGUAGUAGUAAAACCCUCGUUACUGGUAAUCGUCGCGGCCACGCCGUUAAACCCCAACUUCUGAAUGUUGACCUCGGAUCAGGUAGGAAUACCCGCUGAACUUAAGCAUAUCAAUAAGCGGAGGA